rnacentral:rRNA from 1 species
UCGAGCGAGUCUGCCUUGAAGAUCGGAGUGCUUGCACUCUGUGAAACAAGAUACAGGCUAGCGGCGGACGGGUGAGUAACACGUGGGUAACCUGCCCAAGAGAUCGGGAUAACACCUGGAAACAGAUGCUAAUACCGGAUAACAACAGAUGAUGCCUAUCAACUGUUUAAAAGAUGGUUCUGCUAUCACUCUUGGAUGGACCUGCGGUGCAUUAGCUAGUUGGUAGGGUAACGGCCUACCAAGGCGAUGAUGCAUAGCCGAGUUGAGAGACUGAUCGGCCACAUUGGGACUGAGACACGGCCCAAACUCCUACGGGAGGCAGCAGUAGGGAAUCUUCCACAAUGGACGCAAGUCUGAUGGAGCAACGCCGCGUGAGUGAAGAAGGGUUUCGGCUCGUAAAGCUCUGUUGUUGGUGAAGAAGGACAGGGGUAGUAACUGACCUUUGUUUGACGGUAAUCAAUUAGAAAGUCACGGCUAACUACGUGCCAGCAGCCGCGGUAAUACGUAGGUGGCAAGCGUUGUCCGGAUUUAUUGGGCGUAAAGCGAGUGCAGGCGGUUCGAUAAGUCUGAUGUGAAAGCCUUCGGCUCAACCGGAGAAUUGCAUCAGAAACUGUCGAGCUUGAGUACAGAAGAGGAGAGUGGAACUCCAUGUGUAGCGGUGAAAUGCGUAGAUAUAUGGAAGAACACCGGUGGCGAAGGCGGCUCUCUGGUCUGUUACUGACGCUGAGGCUCGAAAGCAUGGGUAGCGAACAGGAUUAGAUACCCUGGUAGUCCAUGCCGUAAACGAUGAGUGCUAAGUGUUGGGAGGUUUCCGCCUCU